GGGUGUUUGCUCCUUUUCGGUUCAAACAUUAUGUGAACUAAAAUAAAAAAGCCCCAUUAGUUAUUGUGUUUAACCAACAAGGCAUCGCCCAAAACCAAACUCCUUGGAUUUCUCCUCUUAGCCAAGAAGAGACCAAGGAGAAAUG
rnacentral:antisense_RNA from 1 species